rnacentral:rRNA from 1 species
CCUACGGGUGGCAGCAGUGAGGAAUAUUGGUCAAUGGCCGUAAGGCUGAACCAGCCAAGUAGCGUGAGGGAAGACUGCCCUAUGGGUUGUAAACCUCUUUUAUGCGGGGAUAACGGUGUCCACGUGUGGAUGUUUGCAGGUACCGCAUGAAUAAGGACCGGCUAAUUCCGUGCAAGCAGCCGCGGUAAUACGGGGGAUGCGAGCGUUAUACGGAUUUAUUGGGUUUAACGGGUGCGUAGGCGGAAUACAAAGUCAGCGGUAAAAAUUCGGGGCUCAACCCCGUCGUGCCGUUGAAACUGAUGUUCUUGAGUGGGCGAGAAGUAUGCGGAAUGCGUGGUGUAGCGGUGAAAUGCAUAGAUAGCACGAAGAACUCCGAUUGCGAAGGCAGCAUACCGGCGCCCAACUGACGCUGAAGCACGAAAGCGUGGGUAGCGAACAGGAUUAGAUACCCUUGUAGUC